UACGUAGGGGGCAAGCGUUGUCCGGAAUUAUUGGGCGUAAAGAGCUCGUAGGCGGUCCUUUAAGUCGGAAGUGAAAUCUCAAGGCUCAACCUUGAAACCGCUUUCGAUACUGGAGGACUUGAGGCAGGUAGGGGAGAGCGGAAUUCCUGGUGUAGCGGUGAAAUGCGCAGAUAUCAGGAGGAACACCGGUGGCGAAGGCGGCUCUCUGGGCCUGUUCUGACGCUGAGGAGCGAAAGCGUGGGGAGCAAACAGG
rnacentral:misc_RNA from 1 species